GGUGGGGAGGCAUUGAAGAAAAUCUUGUGGGAUUUUUGGAGCCAAUCGUGAGAUACCACUCUUUUAAAGCUCGGAUUCUCACUCUCUACCGUAAUCCGGGGAGAGGACACUCCCAGGUGGGCAGUUUGACUGGGGCGGUCGCCUCCUAAAAGGUAACGGAGGCGCACAAAGGUUUCCUCAAAUCGGAUAGAAAUCGAUCGAAGAGUGUAAAGGCAAAAGGAAGCUUGACUGCGAGACGUACAAGUCAAGCAGAGACGAAAGUCGGUCUUAGUGAUCCGACGAUCCUGAGUGGAACGGUUCG
rnacentral:rRNA from 1 species